CAAAGGGAAAUGCUGCAAGGUUAUGGAGCAGGGCUGUUUGCUCUGUGGUGGAUGGUCAUUACAGCUCCUAUUUAAGGUUUUCCCUGCUUGUGAAGUAUUCUGUAAUCUUUAUUGUGGAAAAUGGUCAGCAUCAUGAAUGCUUUUCAGUGAAUAAAUACCCACCUUGCUGACAAGGACUACAGCAAAUAGGCAUCAGAUUAUUGGCGAUGAAUUUUAUGACUUUGACUUUAACAACUGUGCUUCAUGGCUGCUUUGAUCAGACAAUUGAUAUUCUGGAGAGGUUGCCUCCACGUGGAAAGAAGCUUAAGCAAAGGACUCUGCACAGGACUGGUGAAGGAGAAAGAGUGAAAAUUCCCUGAGCAUGGCAGAGGGGAAGGCUCACAAAGACACUCCAUGUCGGACACUGGAGGGUUGUCUUCUUUUCACCUCUUUUCAACUAAGCAAGUAGAACAGCCAGGAAUGUUGAAUACACUGGCAUUCUUCUACCUGGACAAAGCAUUUGGAAUAAAGCAUCAAAGUGCAGAACUGCCUCUUAAGGCACCAAGAGACAACAGCAAGAUCCUGCAAAGCUAAUUCCUAGCAUAAGGAGUAUAAUGCUGGAGAAGCAAUGGUUCCAGAUGCAAAUCUUACUUCAUGAGAAGAAAACAUCUGGAGCCUUACCAAUAAUGGAAGGCAUUUGCUACAGGACCUGAGAAGACAUCCCUGUGACAAAUCACCCAGAAGACAGUAACAAGAGAGAGCUUGCUGGAGAUGAAGGCAAAAUUAAGUGGCCAACCCACCAUCCCAUGAAGAAAAAAGCUGUUUUAUCUUAUGAACCUUAGACAAUGUUUUCACAGCAACUGAGAAAGUUCUGUGAAACCCAGCACAGAUUUCUCCCUUGGUGCAGGAGUCAAAAGGCAGAGCAGAGCUGGCUGGGCUGCAAGGAACAGUGCUCUCCUCACACUACCAGUAUAUAUCGAUGUGGCUACAGUAAAAGACAGCUCAUCUGUUCAGAACCUGACAUAAUCUUCAACAAAAGUUAACUAUUGCAGAGCAUUGUUGAGUUGUGGGUAGUAAACAUGGCAUCAACUAGACUAACAGAAAUGCACUGGUACACAGAACAGUCCCCAAGGUGCUGAGAUGCCACUGGCACCCCAACACUGUGUCAGGAGCUGCCCUCAAUGAACAGGAGCAAAUAGUUUCCAGCACUUCUGGCUGGAAUUGUUCUUUUUCACAAGAAUAUCAGUAAUCUUUACAUUUCUAAUCAUUAUUCUUGCAGAGUUAGACUUGACUCAUGCAAAUCUGGAAAGAUCAAAGUACAGUUGCAUUUUUUUAAAAUAGCAGAAGUCAAACUCAAAAUUCAAACCCAGCCUGCUUUUUAUUUUCUAAACAUAUAUUUAUUAAUUUUAAGCAAAUACAUGAGCUUGCAAGGAGACUUUUUUGACAUGGUUUUUGAAAAUGCUGAUGUGAGUAAAUUGAUCUUGAGAGGUUAUUAAACAGGAGCAGAGAGUGACUGUUGCUGGGGCAUACUUUCACAAUGACUGAUACUAUAUCUGUCCAGCUGUGGAAAAUGAAGGGAUGUAUGUACAUAUAUGUACACAUAUAUAUAAAUAAAUAUUUAUAGAUGUAAAAAUAAAUCUAAUGGUUACAUGGAUUGCAAU